rnacentral:tRNA from 1 species
GGUAGGGUGGCUGAAAAUAUUAGGUGGUAAAUUGUAAAUUUACUUAUGAUCUUUGGAUCUCCUAUCA